rfam:Triticum aestivum genome assembly, contig: Triticum_aestivum_CS42_TGACv1_scaffold_640730_T_5DL-0.058858_1AL-0.057638
GAAAUACUCCCUCCGUCCCAAAAUUCUUGUCUUAGAUUUGUCUAAAUACGGAUGUAUCAAUUCACGUUCUGGUAUUAGAUACAUCUGACUAAUCUAAGACAAAAAAUUUGGGAUGGAGGGAGUAUAAA